AACGCACCUUGCGCUCCUUGGUAUUCCGAGGAGCAUGCCUGUUUGAGUGUUAUUAAAUUCUCAACCUAUCAACUUUUCACGAAGCUGGUAUGGCUUGGAUAUGGAGGUUUGCAGGUUUCUAACGAAGUCAGCUCCUCUGAAAUGCAUUAGCGGUACCCGUGCGGAAUCGUCUAUUGGUGUGAUAAUAUCUACGCCGUGGACAUCUGCUUUAUAUGGGUUGUGCUGCUUAUAACCGUCCCUCUGUGGACAAUUUAUGACAAUUUAACCUCAAAUCAGGUAGGACUACCCGCUGAACUUAA
rnacentral:misc_RNA from 1 species